AAAAAAAAAAAAAUAGCUGGGCAGUAGUGGCAUGCUCCUGUAAUCCCAGCUACUUGAGUGGCUGAGGCAGGACAAUCGCUUGAGGCUGGGAGGCAGAGGUUUCAGUGGGUGAGAUCAUGCUACUGCACACCACUGGGGUGAUAGAGUGACUCUGCAACCCUUCUCCACCCUGCUAACAUCACAAUGCUUCUUUCUCUUGCUUCGUUUCUUUGCUUAUGUUGUUCUCACUGCCUGGAAUGAACCCUGCCACUCCAUCAACAAUACCACAAUUCCCUCAUCACCAAUAUCCUUUUCUCUCUGCUAUUACACUUUAGCCCAAGACUCACCAGCUGCACAGUCUUUCCAAGUUUCAUUACUCCCAGCCAAUCAUUAAACUUCAUUCAAUGAGAGCUCACAUGUGUUAAGCCUCCUGAUCCAGCUGCUGCUCCAGUACUUCUACAAGCCCCUCUCAUACCAGUUUAUGCCACAGGGGGUCUCACAACAGACUUCUUUUGCUGAGGUCUCCUCAGUGAGUGGAUGGCCUUCAUGACUGGGACUCCAGUAAGCUGGCUCACAGCUCAUCCACCCUCUCCCCUCUGACUUCAGCAUGGGCUGAACCUCAACCCCAGGAUCUGACACUUGGCAAUGAGGAUGGAAUGAGUGGAUCUUCAGUCUCUGAGGGCUUCCGGGUCAGCCAUGUGUCUGCAGCAUGAGCUGUGGUAACCGGUGGCAGUGGUGCUGCUUGGAUGGGCCCCAAUGGAAAUGUGGGACGCAGUGGACAGGUCUCCCAUGAGUGUGGAGAGGGAGCUGAAGCAUCUGGAAUUGCACAGCACCAAGAGGUAUGCCUUUGAAGGGAGAGUCAGAUGGGCGUUUGUGACUGUGCUGCAGGAAGUGCAUACCCAGUCCCUGUUGGAUGCAGCACAGGGAAGAGGAAGAACCUCCAUUGCAGGCUCAGCCAGUGAUUGCCCAGAAAAUAGAGCAUGAGCAGCUGGUGGGCCCCAAGGGUGGAGCACACUUCCUAUGGUGCCUGUGCCCCCGCUGAGUUGCGGGAGUUAAGUAAGUAAUGUUGGCAGUCAUGUACAAACUUAUUGCAGGUCAUUUGAGAGAAGGACAUUGCUGAGCAACCCAGUCCUGCCCAAGAGUUCCAGUUCAAAAAGUACCUGUUGCAGUUGGUGCAAGUAUAAAGCCUUUCCUGUUUGAGAAGAGAACUGGCCACGAUACCUGGCUUGUGCAAGGCACUGGGCAACCAGAGCCACAUGUGGACUUGGUGAUCUACUGGUUCCUGAACCUGGAUAAGUUUUCAGGCAGAGCUGCAUUUAUUAAUGGCUAUAAAAACUGGUCAGUGAAAGUGAAACCUGUGUCUCUGCAUCCUGACAUCAGCCACUUGGUUCUUUACUUAGGCACUUGAAUAUCUCUCCCAUACCUGAGGACAUUCUGGUGGUGGAUGUUUUGCAUGGCUUGGCAGGUGUUCUGUCUGUCCCAGACUUAAUGGGGCAUUUGACAAUGGAACCGAGACAAUCCACUGAGAGCCUGGAACAGUUUGCCUUCUUGGGAGGGAGAAAAUAGACUUUCAUGGCGUUGCUGCAGGGCUAUAUGCAUAGCCCCAUCAUAUGUCAUAAUCUUGCUAAUGAUAUUAUGUUAACUUCUUUUUUUUUUUUUUUUUUUUUUGAGACUGAGUUUCUCUCUAGUUGGCCAGGCUGGAGUGCAAUGGCAUGAUUUCAGCCCACUGCAACCUCUGCCUUCUGGGUUCAAGGGAUUCUCCUGCCUCGGCCUCUGAGUAGCUGGGAUUACAGGCACACACCACCAUACCUAGCUAAUUUUGUAUUUUUAGUAGAGAUGGGGUUUCUCCAUGUUGGUUAGGCUGGUCUCGAACUCCUGACCUCAGGUGAUCCUCAGUCUUCCAAAGUGCUGGGAUUACAGGCGUGAGCUACCGCACCUGACCUGUUAUAUUAACUUCUAAUUCUCUUGCGGGUUUAGAAGCGGCAACACCCCUCUUGCCUGAGAUUGGGAUGAUAAGGCUGACAUAGCCUUUCUAACCAAGGGUAUCCAUUUACACUAGAUGUACAUGUAACCACAGAUAGUUCUGGCUAUGGCCUAUAGCAGUGCAUGCAGCACUUGGAAGCUCCAGUGGGCUUUUAGUCCCAACUAUGGAAGGCAACUGAGCUCUGGUAUUCCUUAAUAAAGAAGCAGUUAGUAAUAGCUUCUUAUUCAAUGUGUCCAUGAAACUACUCCCUCAGACUGGGAAAGCAGUUAGCAAUUGUAUGCGCUGCCUUUCAGGCUCAUCAGAGUGUGGCAGGAUGGGCUACAGUUGUAGUGUAGAUGACUUACCUGACAGCAGGGUGGGUGUGUUUAUGGGUAAUAACUCCUCAAACUGGGAUGGUACAGACAUGCACUUCAGUGAAGUGGGGCGCCUACUUAGAGCAGUAAAGUACACUGAGCACAAGUCCCUUAGCAGCAGAGUUACAAGAGGCUUUAGGGUCUGUAGUCCUAAUGCAAUAUAAGGCCAUGGGCCUGAGGCACCACCAGACCCUGAGCUUUUACUGUAAGGAAAGGCAUCCCCCUAUUUGUGCUGGAGCAUGGUAUACAGAUCCAGAGUUCUGCUGCUGCCCGGAUUGCUGCUGCAGUAUUGACAACAGCCUAGUACUGACACCAUAUGGUUUAAAACCAGGUGUGGGCAAAGUAGCUAAUAAGCUAAACUCAGAACAGUGUGAAUGGAAAUCACUAAGGAGGUGACACCUAUGGGUAAUCUGCAUCAAUAGCUGGAUAGUUUAUCAAAGCCUAUGUAUAUGUAUUGGGACUGCAUGCCCAAACCUGUGUAUCAGGCUUGCAUGCCCAGAGCUUAUGUGUCAGGCUUAUGUGUUAAGCAUAUGUGUAUGUGUCUGGCCUGUGUACCCAAAGUUUAUGUGUCAGGCCUAUGUGCCAAACCUGUGUAUCAAACCUGUGUGUCCAAGGCCUAUGUCUUUCUUGGCCUAGGGGGUCAGGAAAUAGGUGAAAUAGGCUAUCUCCGUCAGCCUAGGGGGUCAAGGAAUCGGUGGCUGUCCUGAGGUACAUGGAUGUGCUUUGGUAAAGGAAUAGGCCAAGGCAAAUGUCCAGGCUUGCAUGACUCAGUGAGUUUGGUGCUCAGGUGCACACCUCCCCUUGUUAUAUAACCUGUUUGUGUAAGUUCAUACUUUGCUCUGAGCCACUUUUGUCUAUAAAAGGUAUAAAUGCCCUGCUUACAUUGUACAGGGGCCCUUGAGACUUGGCUGGGCUCUUGAGACUUGGCUUAGCUCAACAUGACUUAACGUGGCAGGCACAGUGGCACCCAGAGAAGGAGAGAGAGAGAACCAGAGCUGUCUUUCUUGUAGAUGGAGAGAAGGGAGCCACAGCAUGAGUUGCUCUGGUGCCCAGAGAGAGAAAGAGUGAAGCUGCUGACCCUGAAGGCAAGGGAGAGCCAGCUGUGCAGCUGCAGGUGUGGGGGUGCCAAGAGCCACAGAGCCAGAGCAAACAGCUGAGAUAAAGGUGAACAGUGUAGAGAGCUAGUGUGCGAAAGCUGUUGAUGAGAGCUGCUGCUGCAUACAAUAAUCUUUUCCCUGCUUAUGUCCCCCAAAUGGUCUUCCUGCUCAUCCACCCACUCCACUCAGACUUCAGCAUAGGCUGUACCCGGACCCCAAAAUCUGACACACAGUGUGCUAUGCUUUUUAAUAUUUUGUUUCAGGAAACAUUUUUUCAAUUAUAAUUUUAAAUAUUUAUUCUUUUUUGUUAUUUUUAGUUUCUUCUUUGAAGACGCCAAUUUUAUGUAUGUUGGCCCUUAGGUUUUCUAUAUUGUAUGUUUAUCACAUUGUAUUCAUUUCCUAUGGCUGCUGUUUGUAACAAAUUAUCACAAGUCUAGUGGCUUAAAACAACACAAAUUUAUUUUCUUACAGUUCUGGAAGUCAGAAAUCUAAAAUGGGUUGGCAGAGCUGUGUUCCUUCUGCAAGUUCCAGGGGGAGAAUUAGUUUCAUGCCUUUCCCAGCCUCUAGAAGCUGUCUGUAUUAUCCCUAGAAUCUCUCCUUCUGUUGUCACCUCUCUUCUGACUCUAAAGCUGCUGCCUCUAAGUACCCUGGUAAUGAUAUUGAUCACCUGGGUGAUCAAGAAUAAUCAGUUCAUCCGGACAUCCUUAAAGUCCCUUUGCCACACAAGCAACUCUCAUGGGCUUCAGGGUUUAGGCUGCAGACACUUUUGUGGGGCCAUUAUUCUGCCUAUCAUGCAAAUAUUUCUCAAAUCCUUUCUUUUAAAAUCAUUAAAAAACAUUCCGUGUCAU